AUGCUCGGGAACGCUCGGGAAUUCCUUGGGAAUGCUUGGGAAUGCUCGGGAACGCUCGGGGAUUCCUUGGGAAUGCCUUGGGAAUGCUCGGGGAUUCCUUGGGAACGCUCGGGGAUUCCUUGGGAAUGCUCGGGAAUUCCUUGGGAAUGCUCGGGAAUUCCUUGGGAAUGCUCGGGAAUGCUCGGGAAUGCUCGGGGAUUCCUUGGGAACGCUCGGAAUUCCUCGGGGAUUCCUUGGGAAUGCUCGGGAAUUCCUUGGGAAUGCUCGGGAAUGCUCGGGAAUUCCUUGGGAAUGCUCGGGAAUGCUCGGGGAUUCCUUGGGAAUGCUCGGGGAUUCCUUGGGAAUUCCUUGGGAAUGCUCAGGGAUUCCUUGGGAAUUCCUUGGGAAUGCUCGGGAAUUCCUUGGGAAUGCUCGGGGAUUCCUUGGGAAUGCUCGGGAAUUCCUUGGGAAUGCUUGGGGAUUCCUUGGGAAUGCUCGGGAAUGCUCGGGGAUUCCUUGGGAAUGCUCGGGAAUUCCUUGGGAAUUCUCGGGGAUUCCUUGGGAAUGCUCAGGAAUUCCUUGGGAAUUUUUGGGGAAUUUUUUGGGAAUUUUUUUGGGAAUUUUUGGGGAAUUUUCUGGGAAUUUUUGGGGAAUUUUCUGGGAAUUUUUGGGGAAUUUUUUGGGAAUUUCUUGGGAUUUUUUGGGGAAUUUUUGGGAUUUUUUUGGAAAUUUUUGGGGAUUUUUUGGGGAUUUUUUUGGGAUUUUUUUGGGAAUUUUUUGGGAAUUUUUGGGAAUUUUUGGGGAAUUUUUUUUGAAUUUCUAGGGAUUUUUGGGGGAAUUUUUGGGAAUUUUUUGGGAAUUUUCUGGGAAUUUUUUGGGAAUUUUCUGGGAAUUUCUUGGGAAUUUUGGGGGAAUUUUUUGGGAUUUUUUGGGGAUUUUUUGGGGAUUUUUUUGGAAUUUUUGGGGAAUUUUUUAGGAAUUUUUGGGGAAUUUUUUUGGAAUUUCAUGGGAUUUUUUGGGGAAUUUUUGGGAAUUUUUUUGGAAUUUUCUCAGAAUUUUUGGGGAAUUUUUUGGGAAUUUUCUGGGAAUUUCUUGGGAAUUUUUGGGGAAUUUUUUGGGGAUUUUUUGGGGAACUUAUGGGGAAUUUUUUGGGAAUUUUGGGGAAUUUUUGGGGAACUUAUGGGGAAUUCUUGGGGAAUUUGGGGGAAUUUUUGGGGAAAUUUUUAUGGGAAUUUUUGGGGAUUUUUUGGAGAAUUUUUGGGGAAUUUUUUGGGAAUUUUUUGGGGAAUUUUUGGGGAAUUUUUUGGGAAUUUUCCUAGAUUUCCUGAGAUUUUUUUGGAAUUUUUUUUCGGAUUUUUUUUUGCAUUUUUGGGGAUUUUUUGA
rnacentral:lncRNA from 1 species